CAAUAUGGUAAUGCUGACGCAUGGGAUAUUUGGCGGGCAAUAUCUUCGGUAACUCAGGCUCACGGCCAGUACCGGGAUAUCAGCGAACUUAUGGCGCCAUGGUUAGGUCAAAUGGGCUAUCCUGUAGUUACUGUGUCACGUGACUGUGGUCAUGACAUGGUUUGUCUUCAUCAGGAGCAUUUCUUAUUGGACAGGGGAAAGACAGAGGUCGCUGAAUCAAAGUACAAAUAUAUUUGGCCUAUUCCGGUGACGUUUUCAUCAGCUGCUAGUAAUGACAU